rnacentral:rRNA from 1 species
UCGGACCGGGGUAGGAGGUAACGACGUGGAAACCGUAGCGUAUAUGGGAGGUAACACUUAGAAAUAGGUGCUAAUACCGCAUAAGCGCACAGCUUCGCAUGAAGUGGUGUGAAAAACUCUGGUGGUAUACGAUGGUUCCGCGUCUGAUUAGCUUGUUGGCGGGGUAAUGGCUCACCAAGGCGACGAUCAGUAGCCGGCCUGAGAGGGUGAACGGCCACAUUGGGACUGAGACACGGCCCAAACUCCUACGGGAGGCAGCAG